rnacentral:rRNA from 1 species
GACGACGCUGGCGGCGUGCCUAACACAUGCAAGUCGAGCGGGGUUGAAGCGAGAGGUAACUCGAGCUUCUACCUAGCGGCGGACGGGUGAGUAACGCGUGGGCAACCUGCCUCAAGGUCUGGGAUAACAGCCCGAAAGGGCUGCUAAUACCGGGUAUGCUUGUGGCCUCGCAUGGGGCUAUGAGCAAAGGGGAAACCCGCCUUGAGAUGGGCCCGCGUCCCAUCAGCUAGUUGGUGAGGUAACAGCUCACCAAGGCGACGACGGGUAGCCGGCCUGAGAGGGUGACCGGCCACACUGGGACUGAGACACGGCCCAGACUCCUACGGGGGGCAGCAGUGGGGGAUCUUGCACAAUGGGCGAAAGCCUGAUGCAGCGACGCCGCGUGAGCGAAGAAGGCCUUCGGGUUGUAAAGCUCUGUCUGGAGGGACGAAGGAAGUGACGGUACCUCCGGAGGAAGCCACGGCUAACUACGUG